AUUGAACGCUGGCGGAAUGCUUUACACAUGCAAGUCGAACGGCAGCACGGACUUCGGUCUGGUGGCGAGUGGCGAACGGGUGAGUAAUGUAUCGGAACGUGCCCAGUCGUGGGGGAUAACGUAGUGAAAAUUACGCUAAUACCGCAUACGAUCUAUGGAUGAAAGCGGGGGAUCGCAAGACCUCGCGCGAUUGGAGCGGCCGAUAUCAGAUUAGGUAGUUGGUGGGGUAAAGGCCCACCAAGCCAACGAUCUGUAGCUGGUCUGAGAGGACGACCAGCCACACGGGAAGUGAGACACGGGCCGGACUCCUACGGGAGGCAGCAGUGGGGAAUUUUGGACAAUGGGCGAAAGCCUGAUCCAGCCAUUCCGCGUGCAGGAUGAAGGCCCUCGGGUUGUAAACUGCUUUUGUACAGAACGAAAAGGUUUCUACUAAUACUAGGAGCUCAUAACGGUACUGUAAGAAUAAGCACCGGCUAACUACGUGCCAGCCGCCGCAGUAA
rnacentral:rRNA from 1 species